rnacentral:rRNA from 1 species
AUACGGAGGGUGCAAGCGUUAAUCGGAAUUACUGGGCGUAAAGCGCGCGUAGGUGGUUCAGUAAGAUGGAAGUGAAAUCCCCGGGCUUAACCUGGGAACUGCUUUCAUAACUGCUGAGCUAGAGUACGGUAGAGGGUAGUGGAAUUUCCUGUGUAGCGGUGAAAUGCGUAGAUAUAGGAAGGAACACCAGUGGCGAAGGCGACUACCUGGACUGAUACUGACACUGAGGUGAGAAAGCGUGGGGAGAAAACAGGAGUAGAUCCCCUGGUAGUCCACGCCGUAAACGAUGUCAACUAGCCGUUGGAAACCUUGAGUUCUUAGUGGCGCAGCUAACGCACUAAGUUGACCGCCUGGGGAGUACGGUCGCAAGAUUAAAACUCAAAUGAAUUGACGG